rnacentral:rRNA from 1 species
CCUACGGGAGGCCGCAGUGGGGAAUUUUGGACAAUGGGCGCAAGCCUGAUCCAGCAAUGCCGCGUGAGUGAAGAAGGCCUUCGGGUUGUAAAGCUCUUUUGUCAGGGAAGAAACGGUGAGGGCUAAUAUCUCUUGCUAAUGACGGUACCUGAAGAAUAAGCACCGGCUAACUACGUGCCAGCAGCCGCGGUAAUACGUAGGGUGCAAGCGUUAAUCGGAAUUACUGGGCGUAAAGCGUGCGCAGGCGGUUUUGUAAGUCUGUCGUGAAAUCCCCGGGCUCAACCUGGGAAUUGCGAUGGAGACUGCAAGGCUAGAAUCUGGCAGAGGGGGGUAGAAUUCCACGUAUAGCAGUGAAAUGCGUAGAGAUGUGGAGGAACACCGAUGGCGAAGGCAGCCCCCUGGGUCAAGAUUGACGCUCAUGCACGAAAGCGUGGGGAGCAAACAGGAUUAGAUACCCUGGUAGUCCCACGACCUAACGAUGUCUACUAGUUGUUCGGUUUAAGUUAACUUAGUACGUACAGCUACGCGUGAGUAGACCGCCGU